AACGGUUCUAAAAAGGGGAGAUGUUGAGACAACGGAACAGAAGCGUUGGGAACACUGCCUCAGCGCACAGAUUCACCAUCGCUUUCCAGCUGGGCUCAUCGGUGACAGCUACAUGCUGCCACACGAUAGACGUCAGAAGCAUAAACCGGAUACCGCAAAUCAUAGUUGUCAUGCUCUAUUGUACUGUGCCUCUUAUCAUUCAUUCGAGUGUAUACUUUUAACCACAGGACUGAAACGGCUGUCAUCCACGAAUUAUUGAAGUGAAGCCAAAAAUUUGGUGCUGGAGAAGGUGCUGAUUUGACAGCUCGUCCAAAAAUACCGUUUUAGGCACGAGACACACUCGUUUUCGAAUGCGACAUUCAUAUUUUACCUAUCAAUCUGGUGUUGAAAAUCCAGAGUCAGCAUCUUCGAAGCAGAUAACAACUCUUCCCAAUCGCCGGUACGCCGAAUUUUUACAUGAACCGGACUCCGAGACGAGAAAUUAUGGACAUGCUUAUUCGAUGGAGGACAUGCCGGGGUUAUGUCAACCAUGUUGUUGCAAAAAUGGAACGGACUGCUAGAACAAAGCGAUGGGAAAUUAAAAAAAAUAUUUUGUGAAUUUCAAGUGUAUAUGCGUAUGGAAUUAAUAAAAAUAAAAUUUUGCACAUCGAUUACUCAACGUAAAGAGCUGCUAAUCUAAA